AGCUGCUGUCGGCUGGACUGAAGGAUCCAGGCUGGAGACUGGACACUCUCAGAGCAGUGUUACGAGGGAGCAGACGAGAGCGACUGAGGUCAAGUGAAGGAACGGCGCUGUCACAGUUCUCUCCCUCAUCAAUUGUCUGGUUCCAGCGGUGGCUCUGUGCUAGACGACCCAUCACCAGCUUUUUCCAGCUGUUUCCACUGGUUACCAGUACGUCAUAGAAUCCACUUCCAGAUCUUGUUGUUUGUCUUUAAAUCUCUGAGUGGAUUGGCUCCAUCUUAUCUCUCUUUAACAAAAUAAUCCAAGUGGAGCCCUCAGGUCUGCAGAUAAGCAGCUUCUGACCAGAACUAGCCGUAAAAACAGAGGUGAGCUUUAUCGAUGGCUGCAGACAAACUCUGGAACAGUCGCCCUUCACAUCAGGUCGUCACCAACACUCAACAUUUUUAAAACCCGGUUGGAAACACAUUUGUACUCUGUAGCUUUCAAUUCUGACGAGUCUUUAUAGUAAUUACUGUGUAUGUUUCCUAUUUUAUCUCUACUCUGUGCAGCA